UCUGGACUGACACUGACACUGAGGUGCGAAAGCGUGGGUAGCAACAGGAUUAGAUACCCUGGUAGUCCACGCCGUAAACGAUGUCUACUAGCCGUUGGGUCCCUUGAGGACUUUGUGGCGCAGUUAACGCCAUAAGUCGACCGCCUGGGGAGUACGGACGCAAGGUUAAAACUCAAAUGAAUUGACGGGGGCCCGCACAAGCGGUGGAACAUGGGGUUUAAUUCGAUGCCACGCGAAAAACCUUACCUACCCUUGACAUCGUGCGAACUUGGUAGAGAUACCUUGGUGCCUUCGGGAGCGCACAGACAGGUGCUGCAUGGC
rnacentral:rRNA from 1 species